rnacentral:misc_RNA from 1 species
AAGAAUUAGUAAGGUGGCUCAGUCGAACCAACAGAUUUUUGAACACAAAGUAGGGAACGGAUCUUUUUCUUUUAGGUGGUCAGCUUAAACCUAUUUAUGAUGGUUAUGGCUGAGAAAAACCUUGUUGAUAUCAGGAAUGGUAGACGAUCAAGGUGCUCUUCGCCAAAUGAAUCAGACGAUAGCAGUGAUGAUUCCGAUCAUGAAGGAGGUGGAAUGCGUGUUGGCAGUGACUAUCAGGCCAAAGUUCCAGAAUACAAACCAGAAAUAAAGCCAGACCCCAGAAAUGAUGCUAUCCUUGUGUGGGCCCCAGCUAUUGAUCUCUCAGAUGGAAAAGUUGAUGAGUAUGUUAAUAUUGCUAAAGAAAAACAUGGAUAUAACACAGAACAGGCAUUAGGAAUGUUAUUUUGGCAUAAACAUAACAUUGAGAAGGCCCUAGCUGAUUUACCUAAUUUUACACCUUUCCCUGAUGAGUGGACAGUUGAGGAUAAAGUCUUGUUUGAGCAGGCCUUUAGUUUUCAUGGGAAGAGUUUUCACAGAAUUAGGCAGAUGUUACCAGAUAAAUCCAUUGCGAGUCUAGUCAAGUACUAUUACUCCUGGAAGAAGAGCAGAUCACGUACCAGUCUGAUGGACAAGCAGGCCAAGAAGCUGAGCAAGACAGGCGACAGUGAUGAAGAGUCUGAUUCCAACGGGAAACGCUCAGGUGAUGAAGAGGAAACUCCUAAAGAGAAUGGGAAGGAGGAGAAAGACACCUGUGGGAAUUGUGGCAUCAGGACAACCCAGCUUCAUAUCACUCCAAAAGGAUCCCUUUGCAAUUCCUGCUAUCAGUAUUGGAGUGAUCAUGCUUACAGGAGGACCGGCGUGAUGAGAACGGCAGGCCCCAAGAGACACGACCAUGGACAGCACCGUCACAACCCAAUGAAGCACAAGAGGAAGCCACCCCGAGGAAUGCACCUUAACUAUGAGGACCUACAGGUCAUUGUGAAUGGGCCACUGAGUCAGGCUGACGCCCUGCUCAAAUCGCUCGAUCAGGAGCUAGUGUCCCUCAAAAGACAGGUUCAGAAUAAUAAACAGAUGCUCAGUCUGCAGAAACACAAGAUGGUAGCAGGGAUUGAUGAUGUGAAACCUCCGGAGACAAACCCAAGAAUCAAUGCCAGGUGGACAAAUGAAGAACUUCUUCUGGCUGUUCAAGGUGUGCGUAAAUAUGGCAAAGAUUUUCAAGCCAUAUCAGAAGUGAUUGGGAACAAGACUGAAGCCCACGUCCGCAGUUUUUUUGUUAACUUUAGGAAAAGAUAUAAUUUGGAUGAAGUUUUAGCAGAGUAUGAAGCUGAGCAUGGAAAAUCAGACUCAUCAGACAAGCUUGAAAAUGAUGAAAAAGAGGAUGAAAAGAUGGAAGUCGAGAUCAAGGAAGAGAUCAACGGAACAGAGGAUUCAGCUAAUACCAACUCCCCUGCCUCAUCUUCUGCCCCGCCCCCUCUGCUAAAACAGCCUCAGGCGCCGGGGCUGAAGGUUCCUCAGAUAGCUCAGCAGUCAAGCCCACCACCAAUGGAAAGUUGAUGUUGGCCAUUGAUAGCCUCCUAGAUUGAACCCCCCACAGAGGACAAUUUUACAACAGCCUCCUCCCUUGAUUCGUCCGGCCUCAAGUGUCCCAGCUCCUAAAUCGGUCACUUCGUCUUCUUGAAAUCAGAACCACCAAAGCCUUGAUCUGACAACACCAACUGAUGACUUUACACCAUCAUAGUUUGCCACCCAUGAGAUAUAGAUGGAACAAUUUUUUAUAGUCUUUAUACGUAUAUGUUCUUUGUUAUGUCAUGUGUCAUUUAAUUAUGUUGACAUCAGGGAACCUUCCAUUAUAAUAUAAACAAACCUCAACAUGUGGGUUUUGUUUAUGAUCUCUUCAAAAUGUCAAGCUUAGGAGAGAGUGUGUUUAAAGGAAUGAGGGUAUUAUGGUCUUUUUUUUUUUAUAGAUUUCUAGAUUGUAGAAAAAGCAGUAUUCAUUUCAUAUUUCAUCCAUACAUUCUCAUUGGCUACAGAAUUUGAGAGUGAGGCGUUGGCCAUCCCCAUUUUCAAAUUCUAUAUCCAAUUAAUUUAUUUUCUUUACUUAAUUCAUCUGAAUUAUUUAUAUGUGCACUUGCUAUUUCAUUUUUUGUCAGUAGUGUAUAUACAUAACUUCAUAUCAUUUCUAUAUUGACCAUUUUUUAUUGUAAACUAUAUUUAUGUAACCAUCAAACUGUCUUUUUGCUUUUCAAGUAUAAAAAAAUGGGAAUUUGUCUCUCAUUAAAAAAAAUAGAAUUUAAUGUGCUGUCCACAUUUUAUGAUAUAUUGACCUAAAAAUUAGAGGAGACCAGGUUUGUUGCUUUUGUAGAGGUACUUGCUUGAGAAUAUUGAUUGCUAUUGGUGUAUGGUAUGAUCAGAUGUUACGGCUUAUGCUGAAAUGCUUGUGUGUGGUAGAUCUUUUUUUAAAUCACCAUAGUUUUCAAACAUUCAAAGUUAUCACUACUCAUAGUAAAAAUCACAUAUUUAUACACAUUCACUCCUGUGUCACUUCAUUGUACAUCGCCUGUCAUUCAGCUCAGAUUGCUGUGAAAAUACAUAUGCUCAUUGCUAACACGUGUUGGACUUUUUCUUAUGAUUUGAAAUAAAAGUCUGCAGAUUGC